GACGUAGGGUGCAAGCGUUUGUCCGGAUUUACUGGGCGUAAAGAGCGCGUAGGCGGCUCGUUAAGUGUGAAGUGAAAUCUCUAGGGCUCAACCCAGAAACUGCUUUACAUACUGGCGAGCUGGAGUGAUGCAGAGGUUUGUGGAAUUCCUGGUGUAGCGGUGAAAUGCGUUGAUAUCAGGAGGAACACCGAUGGCGAAGGCAGCAAACUGGGCAUCAACUGACGCUGAGGCGCGAAAGCGUGGGUAGCAAACAGG
rnacentral:rRNA from 1 species